rnacentral:lncRNA from 1 species
AUUGAAGAUUGGGAACUGGGAGGCUUUGCUCUAGACCCAGUUCUGCAGAUUACUCAUCUUAUGCUCUAGAUCUUUCUAAAUCCUAGGAUUCCAGAAAGGAAGGUUGGGCCAUACAGAACUCUAGGGUGCCUCCCAGCUCAAACAUUCUGUUAUUCAGAGCUAGAUCUGAGUCACAUUUUUACCAACUUGGAAUAGGAACCAGGCAACCUACAAGUGUUAGCAAGGAAAAAACAAGUCUCAUGGAGAAACAGAUUAAACAGAUACAAGUAAGAUGAAAGGCUAAUGUGCUGUUCUCGUGUUAUAAUUCCAAUUGCUCAUGUUUUCAACUGAGAAAAAAAUUCACCUGCCUGGAUCUGGAACAAAUUCCGGAACAAGGUUCUGAUGAAAUGAGGACAUCUCUGCCUCGACUGGUAAUAAAAAAAGAGCUGGAUGGUGUGAAGCCCCAGAAACGCAGCUCCAUCACUCCUCACAAUUACUGUGUCUUAUUGAUAACUCGCAGCUCUAUCCAGCAAAUGCCAUCUCUGGAACAAAGCCUGUCACAGAUCAGACCGAAUCCAUUAAAAAGCUUUGAUUAACAUGUCCCUGGGGUGUGCUGUGGAAACUUUUUACACCAAAUGACAGCCUAUUGCGGCAGCUUCGGAAUUGUCCUCCUGAAAUACUCUUGUGUUUUAAUCUAGUGCGCAGUUUAAAUUAAAAAACGGCAAUGACUUUGUGUGACCUAAAUACGAGCCACUUCUAUUCAGGGUGGGAUUUAUCAACUGCUUGCAGAUUAAGUGUUCAGAGAAGCAACAAUUAACCUUACUGUGUGGUGGCUAAUAUUAAUUAUAUAUAUAUUAUACAUAGGUUGUGUGUAUAAUCUCUUCUUCUUUCUUCUAUUCUUAAACAUGGCCUAGAGAAAGGGUCAUAGUUAAUGUGCUUAAUUUAGUGGAUACAAAGCCUUGUGCUGAUUCUUAGUAGAAAACAAAUUUGUUUGUGUUUGGGGAGUACAAUAAUCACUGUUCUGGUGCUUUUUCAUUGGUCUCUGAC